rnacentral:rRNA from 1 species
ACUUAUACUCGGGAGUCAGACUGCGAGUGAUAAGAUCCGUAGUCGAAAGGGAAACAGCCCAGACCACCAGUUAAGGUCCCCAAAUAUAUGUUAAGUGGAAAAGGAUGUGGGGUUGCUUAGACAACCAGGAUGUUGGCUUAGAAGCAGCCACCAUUGAAAGAGUGCGUAAUAGCUCACUGGUCGAGUGACCCCGCGCCGAAAAUGUACCGGGGCUAAACAUAUUACCGAAACUGUGGAUGAACCUCUUUAGAGGUUCGUGGUAGGAGAGCGUUCUAAGGGCGGUGAAGUCAGACCGGAAGGACUGGUGGAGCGCUUAGAAGUGAGAAUGCCGGUAUGAGUAGCGAAAGAAGGGUGAGAAUCCCUUCCACCGAAUAUCUAAGGUUUCCUGAGGAAGGCUCGUCCGCUCAGGGUUAGUCGGGACCUAAGCCGAGGCCGAUAGGCGUAGGCGAUGGACAACAGGUAGAGAUUCCUGUACCAGUGCUAAUUGUUUAACCGAUGGGGUGACACAGAAGGAUAGGGAAUCGCACGAAUGGAAAUGUGCGUCCAAGCAGUGAGUGUGAG